GUACCACAGACCUAUUUCCUUGAGCUGACCUCAUCUUCCUCAUGCCAAGCAGGUGAUCUUCAUUGAAGAAGAUGCACCAGGGACAUGGUCUGAAUUGGGUGCUAGGAGGCUACGCCUGGGAAGCAGCAGCCGAGGGAACUGUGUCACAGGAGGGCCCUGGUUGCCCAGCACCUCACUGUCUCUGCAUCAAGGGAGGCACCAGGAGUUUGUGUGCUGGAAUUGAACUCCUCCAUGCCUGGUGACAGAUCAUGGACAGAUCUCUGCUCUCAUCCAGCAUCCUAGAAACUGUAGAGAUUAUCUCAGAAGAAGAAUCAAUCAGUCCAAGGGAUCUACAGCUUGGGUCUGUCAAGAGACAACGUUGGAAAGACCUCAGUGUUCUACCUAUUGCAUUAUUGUGGUGACAAGAUAUGGUGACUGGACUAUCCUAAGGCAGAGUCUGUGGCCAUGAG
rnacentral:lncRNA from 1 species